GGCUCGGUGAGGCCUUCGGACUGGCCCAGGGAGGUCGGCAACGACCACCCAGGGCCGGAAAGUUGGUCAAACCCGGUCAUUUAGAGGAAGUAAAAGUCGUAACAAGGUCUCCGUAGGUGAACCUGCGGAGGG
rnacentral:rRNA from 1 species